GAUGAACGCUGGCGGCGUGCCUAAUACAUGCAAGUCGAGCGAACGGACGAGAAGCUUGCUUCUCUGAUGUUAGCGGCGGACGGGUGAGUAACACGUGGAUAACCUACCUAUAAGACUGGGAUAACUUCGGGAAACCGGAGCUAAUACCGGAUGAUAUUUUGAACCGCAUGGUUCAAAAGUGAAAGACGGUCUUGCUGUCACUUAUAGAUGGAUCCGCGCUGCAUUAGCUAGUUGGUAAGGUAACGGCUUAUCAAGGCAACGAUGCAUAGCCGACCUGAGAGGGUGAUCGGCGACACUAGAACUGGAACACGGUCCAGACUCCUACGGUAGGCAGCAGUAGGGAAUCUUCCGCAAUGGGCGGAAGCCUGACGGAGCAACGCCGCGUGAGUGAUAGAGAUCUUCGGAUCGUGAAACUCUGUUAUUAGGGAAGAACAUAUGUGUAAGUAACUGUGCACAUCGUGACGGUACCUGAUCAGAAAGCCACGGCUAACUACGUG
rnacentral:rRNA from 1 species